AUUGAACGCUGGCGGCAGGCCUAACACAUGCAAGUCGAACGAGUGGCGGACGGGUGAGUAAUGUCUGGGAAACUGCCUGAUGGCGGGGGAUAACUACUGGAAACGGUAGCUAAUACCGCAUACCCUCAGAUGUGCCCAGAUGGGAUUAGCUAGUAGUUGGGGUAACGGCUCACCUAGGCGACGAUCCCUAGCUGGUCUGCGAGGCUGACCAGCCAAACUGGAACUGAGACACGGUCCAGCAGCCUACGGGAGGCAGCAGUGGGGACUAUUGCACAAUGGGCGCAAGCCGGAUGCAGCCAGGCCGCGUGGAUGAAGAAGGCCGUCGGGUUGUAAAGUACUUUCAGCGGGGAGGCGUUACCCGCAGAAGAAGCACCGGCUAACGCCGUGCCAGCAGCCGCGGUAAUAC
rnacentral:rRNA from 1 species